UGAAGGAGAGCUUUAGAAAGAUGUGUUUGUUGUCUGUGUGCUUCAUUGCAACAGCCCUGCCACACUAGGAGGAAGACAGGUUUUGGGUCCUGUCUUGGUGAUAAAGAUAAAACUAAAGGACAAUCAAAUCUCAUCAAACUUCUCUCUGAGGAGCUGAUGACGUUUCAGAAACAGUGACAAAGUUCAGAAUCCCAUUCUUCCAUCCUAGAUGGGAAACAUCAACUUUCCUGAUGAUGCUGAAAAAGCAAGAUACUCAUUUUUUCCAGCCACCCUUGCAGAGCCAGAAAGCCCAUGAGAUUCAAUAGAUGUAAGACUGAGAGAGAUUUUCAUUCCUGGAUGAAAGGAGACAGGCCUGGGAGAAGAGUUUUCUCUUGCCAUCUUUGCAGUCUCUCCACUCCUGACGUGUACAGGGUCAGGAAAGGCCAUGUGAAAACAUGGCGAGAAGACAGUCAUCUGCAACCCAAGGAGAGAGACUUCACCAGACACUGACCCUGCUGGCACCUUGAUCUUGGACUUCCAGUGUUCAGAACUAUAAGAAAUAAAUUCCUGUUAUGUAAGGUGCCCAGUCCAUGGUAUUUUGUUGUAACAGCCUGAGCUGUUGAAGAUGGAUUUUCCUUUCAAGAUCAGAUCUUGGGCCUCAGAGUCAGCCUCACUAUAGAAAGCAAGGGCUAGUCUCAGCUUCCCACAGAAGACUUGGUUUUAUUGGAGGCAAGUUUUGUCUUGCUUACAAUGAGGUUAUACAAAGCAUAACAAAAUUCACAUUUUGUUAAGUGACUACCAUAUGAUCACUCUGAAUUUUAUUUUACCUGUCAUUUCUCGGUAUCAAUAGGUUUUACUUCCCCUUGUUCUGGAUUUCAGUGAUUGAUGACUGAAUACAAUAAAUAUUUA
rnacentral:lncRNA from 10 species